UUGAACCGGAUCGUGAAAGGAGAAGAAAGUGACAACAGAAUCGAACCGGCUGAACCAGAAUACAUACCGAGCCAAACCGGAUCUGAACCGUAGAGGAAGAGGUAAGCUGAACCGGUACGAGAAGUAACAAAGGGUAAGAGUUUUGUUCAUCCUUUUUUCCGAAUUUUGUUUUGUAGAUAUAUGUAGAUCCGUGCUUUGUUUUGAAAUUUUGUUUUAAGAAUUGAAACCAGCAUGCAAAAGGAUGUUUAAAACUACAAGAAAUUUUUGAAUCGGAGCAAGUUUGAACUCCGGCGCGGUGGUGCCACUACCGGCCACCGCGCCGGAAAACACUAUCUCGCCGGAGAAGAUGAUAUAAGGGGGCGGCUGUUUGUUUUGUUAAGAGAGAAGUGAGAACAAUUAUUUUUGAGUGUAGAGAGAAGGAAGAAUUUGUGUUUAGAAAGAGAAGAGAAGAAACCAAAUGAGUAAUAUGC
rnacentral:lncRNA from 1 species